rnacentral:rRNA from 1 species
UGACGUCAAGUCAUCAUGGCCCUUACGGCCUGGGCUACACACGUGCUACAAUGGUCGGUACAAAGGGUUGCCAAGCCGCGAGGUGGAGCUAAUCCCAUAAAACCGAAUCGUAGUCCGGAUCGCAGUCUGCAACUCGACUGCGUGAAGUCGGAAUCGCUAGUAAUCGUGAAUCAGAAUGUCACGGUGAAUACGUUCCCGGGCCUU